AUUAGGUGUAUGUAUAUAUAUAUAU
rnacentral:sRNA from 1 species